rnacentral:pre_miRNA from 1 species
CCUACACCUAUGUGUGUAGGACCUCAAAGGAUCACUAUUAAAUUUGGCACAGAUCUCUAGAAGAGUUAUCACAUGGAUGUGAGAUUUGAUUUUUCUAAAGAUGUGUCAAAUUUAAUGGUGAUCAUUUGAGAUCCUACACAUAUGGGUGUGGG